CGGGUGCACUGAUCCGGCCGGGCCUUUCCCUCUGUGGAACCCCAUGGCCUUCACUGGCUGUGCGGGGGAAACAGGACUUUUACUGUGAAAAAAUUAGAGUGCUCCAGGCAGGCCUAUGCUCGAAUACAUUAGCAUGGAAUAAUAGAAUAGGACGCGUGGUUCUAUUUUGUUGGUUUCUAGGACCGCCGUAAUGAUUAAUAGGGACAGUCGGGGGCAUCAGUAUUCAAUUGUCAGAGGUGAAAUUCUUGGAUCUAUUGAAGACUAACUACUGCGAAAGCAUUUGCCAAGGAUGUUUUCAUUGAUAAGGAACGAAAGUUAGGGGAUCGAAGACGAUCAGAUACCGUCGUAGUCUUAACUAUAAACUAUGCCGACUAGGGAUCGGACGAUGUUAUUUCUUGACGCGUUCGGCACCUUUCGAGAAAUCAAAGCGCUUGGGCUCCAGGGGGAGUAUGGUCGCAAGGCUGAAACUUAAAGAAAUUGACGGAAGGGCACCACCAGGGGUGGAACCUGCGGCUUAAUUUGACUCAACACGGGGAAACUCACCAGGUCCAGACACAGUGAGGAUUGACAGAUUGAGAGCUCUUUCUUGAUUCUGUGGGUGGUGGUGCAUGGCCGUUCUUAGUUGGUGGAGUGAUUUGUCUGCUUAAUUGCGAUAACGAACGAGACCUUAACCUGCUAAAUAGCCCGUACUGCUCUGGCAGUUCGCCGGCUUCUUAGAGGGACUAUCGG
rnacentral:rRNA from 1 species